rnacentral:rRNA from 1 species
AACGAACGCUGGCGGCGCGUCUUAAGCAUGCAAGUCGAACGGCAAGAGAGGAGCUUUCUUCUCUCCUAGAGUGGCGGACUGGUGAGGAACACGUGGGUAAUCUACCCUUAAGAUGGGGAUAGCUGCUAGAAAUAGCAGGUAAUACCGAAUACACUCGGCAUAUCACAAGAGGUGUUGAGGAAAGGAAGCUACGGCUUCGCUUGAGGAUGAGCUUGCGUCCCAUUAGCUAGUUGGUGAGGUAAAGGCCCACCAAGGCGACGAUGGGUAUCCGGCCUGAGAGGGUGAACGGACACAUUGGGACUGAGAUACGGCCCAAACUCCUACGGGAGGCAGCAGCUAAGAAUAUUCCGCAAUGGACGGAAGUCUGACGGAGCGACGCCGCGUGGAUGAAGAAGGCUGAAAAGUUGUAAAAUCCUUUUGUUGAUGAGGAAUAAGGGUGAGAGGGAAUGCUCAUCUGAUGACGGUAAUCGACGAAUAAGCCCCGGCUAAUUACGUG